rnacentral:snRNA from 1 species
GGAGGUGAGGGCGAUCUGGCUGCGCCAUCUGUCACCCACUGAUCGCCAGGGUUGAUUCGGCUGAUCCGGCUGGCCAGGCGGGUGUCCCCUUCCUCCCUCACCGCUCCAUGUGCGUCCCUCCCGAAGCUGCACGCUCGGUCAAAGAGGACAACCUUCCCCGCUAGAGGAGAACUGGUCUUCGGUCAAGGGUUUACAAGUAGCUGCACUCCCCUGCUAGAACCUCCAAACAAGCUCUCAAGAUGUGCCUCAACUUACAAUGGGGUUAUAUCCAUGUAACCCCAUCCUAAGUUGAAAAAUUCAAAUAA